rnacentral:lncRNA from 1 species
GGAUGGAUACAAAUUUCUUGCUUAUCGUGUAUGAUGGCAAAUGGACAGCAGAUUAUAAGUACUUGGAUCAUAAAACGAAGCUCCUACUGAUAAAUGAUGGGACUUCAUUUGAAGAAUUUUUUUGAAGUUAUAGAGAUUGAGAACAAAAAGUUUCAAGCAAAUGUGUGGCUUAAUAUCAAUCUAGGUACUGCUAAAGGGAUAGAAG